GAGUUUGAUCCUGGCUCAGAAUGAACGCUGGCGGCAGGCCUAACACAUGCAAGUCGAACGGAGUUAUAUUGUAGCUUGCUAUGGUAUAACUUAGUGGCAGACGGGUGAGUAAUGUAUAGGAAUCUACCUAGUAGUACGGAAUAAUUGUUGGAAACGGCAACUAAUACCGUAUACGCCCUACGGGGGAAAAAUUUAUUGCUAUUAGAUGAGCCUAUAUUAGAUUAGUUAGUUGGUGAGGUAAAGGCUUACCAAGACAAUGAUCUAUAGCUGAUCUGAGAGGAUGAUCAGCCACACUGGAACUGAGAUACGGUCCAGACUCCUACGGGA
rnacentral:rRNA from 2 species